CCUCUUCUACACUGUGUUCAUGUUCGUGAUCGUGCUCUCCUCUCUCAAGCAUGGCCUCUUCAGUGGGCAGUGGCUGCGGCGGGUCAGCUAUGUCCGCUGGGAGGGCGUCUUCCGCUGCAUCCCGAUCUUCGGCAUGUCCUUCGCCUGCCAGUCCCAGGUGCUGCCUACCUACGACAGCCUGGAUGAGCCAUCAGUGAAAACCAUGAGCUCCAUAUUUGCCUCCUCCCUCAAUGUGGUCACCACCUUCUACGUCAUGGUGGGGUUUUUCGGCUACGUCAGCUUCACCGAGGCCACGGCCGGCAACGUGCUGAUGCACUUUCCCUCCAACCUGGUGACAGAGAUGCUCCGUGUGGGCUUCAUGAUGUCGGUGGCUGUGGGCUUCCCCAUGAUGAUCCUGCCAUGCAGGCAGGCCCUGAGCACGCUGCUGUGUGAGCAGCAGUGGAGACCAUCCUGGGCCUCACAGGAGCGACCAUGGGAAGCCUCAUCUGCUUCAUCUGCCCGGCGCUGAUCUACAAGAAAAUCCACAAGAACGCACUUUCCUCCCAGGUGGUGCUGUGGGUCGGCCUGGGCAUCCUGGUGG
rnacentral:sRNA from 1 species